UGGGGAAUAUUGCACAAUGGGCGCAAGCCUGAUGCAGCCAUGCCGCGUGUAUGAAGAAGGCCUUCGGGUUGUAAAGUACUUUCAGCGGGGAGGAAGGUGUUGUGGUUAAUAACCGCAGCAAUUGACGUUACCCGCAGAAGAAGCACCGGCUAACUCCGUGCCAGCAGCCGCGGUAAUACGGAGGGUGCAAGCGUUAAUCGGAAUUACUGGGCGUAAAGCGCACGCAGGCGGUCUGUCAAGUCGGAUGUGAAAUCCCCGGGCUCAACCUGGGAACUGCAUUCGAAACUGGUAGGCUAGAGUCUUGUAGAGGGGGGUAGAAUUCCAGGUGUAGCGGUGAAAUGCGUAGAGAUCUGGAGGAAUACCGGUGGCGAAGGCGGCCCCCUGGACAAAGACUGACGCUCAGGUGCGAAAGCGUGGGGAGCAAACA
rnacentral:rRNA from 1 species